UCCUCGAUGGUCUAACGGUCAUGAUUUCCGCUUGUCACUCGAAUGAGAACGAGCGCGGGAGACCAGGGUUCGACUCCCUGUCGGGGAG
rfam:Aspergillus clavatus NRRL 1 1099423829736 genomic scaffold, whole genome shotgun sequence.